UGUUGAAAAAUUUAAAUUGACUCUUGAAUCUUGAUUAUUGGAAAAUCAACAAUUCUGAUAUUUGAUAAAUGUGUAAGUUCAAAAUUGUUGAUUUUUAGUUGGAAACCCAUUUCCAUUGCACGAAAUUCCCUGCACUUCUGCCAAUAUAUAAUUGCUUCCGUGUUCGCAAUUAUAGCGCAAAUCCGCGCAAUUCCACGCAACGGAACUUCGAUUGGAAACCCUACUUUAAACCUGCUGGGAACCAUAUAUUGCCCUGAUCCAGGAGGGACUGAGUCCCAAUACUCCCCCCCCCCUGUAUAUCAAAGGUUUUAAAGAAUAAGAAUGAGAAAAUAAGAGUUUUCGGUGUAUAGGAUUCUGUAUUGGUUGUAUAGGAGCAGACUGGGUACACCAAACAGUUAGAGACACUAAACCUCCAGAUGAAGGAGAUGCAGAGAUGUCUUAUUGAAACACGGUCCCGUAAUCUGUACCUGGAGAAUCUUGUAGAACAGCAGCGCAAGAAACUGGAACAAAUUGAAGAAAUGACUGAAAGAGCUGAAAAGCAAAAAACUGAACGUUCAAAAGAAGAUCUUCAUAAACAAGUUGUCCACGAUCUAGAUAAAGCUUCUUCUGAUCCUGAUCCACCAGAGGUUCUCAAAAAACUAACAGAAGCCGAAGAGAUGUUAAUAAGGCUGAGAGAAGAGAAUGUAAACCAGAGAGAGGAGUUAGAUCAACUCAAGAGUUUUGUACUUAAGGAGAUGCGUAUGAAGUAUAAAGGCUGUAAUCAUCCCACCAAGCUGAGACUGAGUCAGGGCUCCAGGUCUACCUCUAUAACAAGACUUGAUAUUUCACAGGGUUUCCCACCUCUUAAACCUAUUACUGUGACACCAAGAAGAACCAGUAGAUCCAUGAAUAGAGGUGAGGGAUCACAGAGAGACAUAUUCAACUCUUCUUUUUCAAAGCAAAGGAUUCAUGCAUCAUUGCCUUCCCUUCAGCUUUCAAGAAGAGGAACCCCUGCUCAUAGAUGAUUCAUUGAUUGAUUGAUAGAACAUUUACUCAUAGAUGAUUCAUUGAUUGAUUGAUAGAACAUUUACUCAGCUAGAAUUUAGUUGCAAUAACUAGAGUUCGGAACAGCUGGAGAAGAUAUCGCUAAUUUGAAACGCUUUUAGAUGAUGAAUUGAAUCAUAAAAACAGCUAUUUUAUAUUUUAACAAUCUUUUUUGGCCUUUGAAGUUCUGAUUUUUCAGACCUAUAGCUUGAUAUUCAAAAAGAAUUAAUUAACUUAAAUCAUCUUUCUUUAAGUUUUUUCCCAAGGGAUUAACAGCAAAAAAGUUAAAAUAAAAUUAGAGUUAAUUCAUUUGUUUUUUAUCUGAGGUCGGAAUUGUUGUGUGGAGUAUCAUUGAUCUUGAGCGCUUCAUCAAACAUGAGAAGAGAUGAUGAUGAGAGAUGGAUGAAAAUCAAUGCUUAAUCCCAAGAUUCCCAAAGUUCUGAUACCACAUUUGCAUUAAAAACGUCAAACAGAGAAACCAUUGCCAGCUUGACCAACAUGCAGAUGCAGAUGAGAAAAUUUUUGUUACCUUACAAAAAUGCACUUACCAA
rnacentral:misc_RNA from 1 species